rnacentral:rRNA from 1 species
AUUGAACGCUGGCGGCAGGCCUAACACAUGCAAGUCGAGCGAGCGGCGGACGGGUGAGUAAUGUAUGGGGACUGCCCGAUAGAGGGGGAUAACUACUGGAAACGGUAGCUAAUACCGCAUACUAUCGGAUAACCCAUAUGGGAUUAGCUAGUAGGUGAGGUAAUGGCUCACCUAGGCGACGCUCCCUAGCUGGUCUGAGAGGAUGAUCAGCCAAACGGGGACUGAGAAACGGCCCAGACUCCUACGGAGGCAGAGGUGGGGAAUAUUGGAAAAUGGGCGCAAGCCUGAUGCAGCCAUGCCGCGUGUAGGAAGAGGGCCCUAGGGUUGUAAAGUACUUUCAGUCGGGAGGCGUUACCGACAGAAGAAGCACCGGCUAACUCCGUGCCAGCAGCCGCGGUAAUAC